UACGUAGGUGGCGAGCGUUAUCCGGAAUUAUUGGGCGUAAAGAGCGCGCAGGUGGUUGAUUAAGUCUGAUGUGAAAGCCCACGGCUUAACCGUGGAGGGUCAUUGGAAACUGGUCGACUUGAGUGUAGAAGAGGGAAGUGGAAUUCCAUGUGUAGCGGUGAAAUGCGUAGAUAUCGGGAGGAACACCAGUGGCGAAGGCGACUCUCUGGUCUGUAACUGACGCUGAGGCUCGAAAGCGUGGGGAGCAAACAGGAUUAGAUACCCGCGUA
rnacentral:rRNA from 1 species